rnacentral:rRNA from 1 species
GGCCGCGGGAAUUCGAUUCAGGCCUAACACAUGCAAGUCGAACGGCAGCACGGAGCUUGCUCUGGUGGCGAGAAAAGAACGGGUGAGUAAUAUAUCGGAAGGUACCCUGGAGUGGGGGAU